rnacentral:misc_RNA from 1 species
UUUCCGUAGGUGAACCUGCGGAAGGAUCAUUCAUAAUAAGUGUUUUAUGGCACUUUUUUUAAAUCCACAUCCACCUUGUGUGCAAUGUCAGGGUUGAUUUUUCUUUCGAGGGGAACAGCCCUAAACAUCAACUAUAUAUCAACUCUUUGUAGGAAAAAUAUUAUGAAGAAAACAAUUCAAAAUACAACUUUCAACAACGGAUCUCUUGGCUCUC